rnacentral:rRNA from 1 species
GAUGGCUUCAUUCAAAUAUCUGCCCUAUCAACUUUCGAUGGUAGAAUAGUGGUCUACCAUGGUUUCAACGGGUAACGGGGAAUAAGGGUUCGAUUCCGGAGAGGGAGCCUGAGAAACGGCUACCACAUCCAAGGAAGGCAGCAGGCGCGCAAAUUACCCAAUCCCGACACGGGGAGGUAGUGACAAUAAAUACUAGAUAUCAGGGCUCUUUUGGGUCUUAGGUAAUUGGAAUGAGUACAAUUUAAAUCUCCUUACACGAGGAACAAUUGGAGGGCAAGUCUGGUGCCAGCAGCCGCGGUAAUUCCAGCUCCAAUAGCGUAUAUUAAAGUUGU